GGGGAUUUUCCACUGCCUUGGGAGUGGGGUGAGCACACAAGUGAGCCUGUGUGGCAACGGGAGCGCUCCUGCUUCCCCGCGUGCCGAGGGGAACGGGGCAGACCCACAGCCCCAACACACAGCUGCCUUUGGGGCUGCUCACUGCUGCUGCCCCACAACAUGAGCUUCUCCCCAGGGCUCCUCCUGGCUCUGUGUGCACGGUUCAUCGCAUUGCUCAUAAGAAUUGUCUGAUCGCGAGUUAUUCCCCCAGCCCUGCCAGGAGCCCAAUUUAAAUAACAAUGAGGCUCGGUUACAGGCGGCAGGUCUGAUCCCAGCGCACGCUGACUUCUUCAUUAAGCUUGCCUCGCGAGGGCUUUCCCUGCAGCCGAGCCAUUAACUGCGAGCAUCGCUCACAGCCGCUGUGCCGGUGGCAUCCCUCUCCCUGCCCUGAGCCAGCAGAGCCUGCAGUGUCACACUGGGCAGGAGAGCUUUGCUCUCCGUUGGGUGACCUGAUGGCAACCCCCAGGCCAUGAAUGUAAAGUCAAACAAAAGCUGUGGAGGAAAAGCAACGAAAAAUUCAUGAAAACAGAACAACCGACCUGUUGGUGAAUUUCCAGAGAUAUUUGAAAUGUUUCACCAAAAAAAAAAAAAGAAAAAAAAAAACACCCAGAAAGAACUGCUUUCCUAAUUUAGAAAUCAAAAGAAUUUUUGAAUGGAAAACAUUUGCAUGGGGCUUUCACUGCUCUCAAACUAAAUGACUCUGACUCGCUUUGGACAGGAGCGCAGUGCUUAUCUGACUGCUUUCGGGUCUCAUUUGCCCCAGGCAGCACUCUGGGCAGACACUGAGCACCCCAAGCUCCUGACUUUGGUUUCUGCCCCACUCUGUUUGUGGCUACCAUCACCCACGCACUCACUGCACCCAGACUGUGUGACAAUGACACCCAGUCCCUCAGCUCCUGGUGACAGCCCAGGGCUGGCCACCUUCUCCCACUGCCCUUCAUCUCCCCAACCCCUCCCAUAGCUCCAUGUGCUCCCACACACCAGACCCCAGGCGCAGCCCAGGAGAUCCCCUCCCUGGCAAGGUAAGGGCCAUCCUGACAUGAUUUCCCCUGAUCCAUUUGAGAUGGGAUCUCCUCCUCUGAAUGCUGGACUGUCAGCGGGUAUCUGAACAUAAUUAAAUCCUGCUGCUUCUUCAGAUGUCCUUGGAAGUCGUAUGCCUGACCUAUUUCUGAUGCGUCUCUGUAGCUGUCCUCCAAACCUCCCCAGCCACGCAGCAAACGAGCCCUUCCUUUGCCGGGGCACUGUGGAUGUUUGACGUUCUCUCUGGUUUAAUGACCUAACAGUAAAAGCUAUUGACACAGGCUGUAAUUAAUACACCCGGUGGGAAAAGCAAAGGGCAGCUCUGUGUGGUGAGGAGAACUGAUGGCCAGACGGGGCUGCACAGAGCUGGUCCCCGCCUGCCUGCCUCUGCCGGUGUCAACAUGCAUCCCUCCACCCCAUGCAUCCCUUCAUCUCACGUAACCCUGCACUCUGCACAUCCUGUACUCCAGGCAUCCCUGCACCUUGCACAUCUCCACACUUGUCAGCCCCUUCACCAGGUGGGUGGGAGGCACAGAGAGGUUCGGGGCAGGGUCCCAUGACAGUGCCUCACCCUGCUGUGUGCCCAGACAGGAGCAGGGGCCCUGUGCUCGUUACAUAAAUGGGCUUUUGCUGUACUCAUCAAUGUCAUGAAGCCCCACCCCGAUUACUGAUAUCACCGUUCCCAUGGCAACAGAAGUGCUGCAAAAAAAAGGAAGAAUGGAGAUGAAGAAAGGCACAGGGAGGGGGAAGGGGAGGGAAAGCCUGGGGAGGGGCUGCAGUGCCCACAGGGCCCACACCACCCUGGGAGAGUCCCUAUGGGCUGGGUGGGAUGGUGGGCUGCUCAUUGGUGUGGGGACCACCACAGCAGUGCCCUCAUGGGGACCUUAGCACUAAUCCACUUCCAUUAGUCCCAACAUGGCUUUAUCCGCCUCAGAUGCUCAGAAACCCAAUAUCAUCUACUCCAUCCCCUCUGCCUGUCUGUGGCUACAUUCUGAGAUGUUUUAUCGGUGUCAAGGAUGGCUGAAAAAGAUUUUUUUUGGCAAGCCUGAGUCUCCAAAUCCUCACAUGAUCCCAGGACCUGGGAAUAACAUCAGGAGAGAUGCAGAAAGCAGCCAAAGCUGUGUCCUACAGCCCUUAAAUCCUGGGGUAACUGCAGGACAGGUAGACAGACAGACAGAGGCAGCCAGCAGAACCUCACCAGAGUAACAGAGGGUUUUGCAGCUCAGAAUUCCCUACCCAGCCUUCCCACAUCCUCUUUUUGCAGAGCCUCAGUGGGGCUGGGACCCCAGAAUGGGGACUGCUGUCUGUGCCCUGCUCCACUGCCAUCCGCCUGGGGCUGCCCUGUGCCGUCAUUCGUGCCGUGGUUGUACAGAGGAGGAGGAAGCCAUGCCAGCACCAAGGUGCCAAUUACUCUUUCAUUAACAGCCGAUGUAUUUCUCUAUCAGCCCUCUGCUUCUCCAUACAAUGUUGAUCAUUUUGAUGGAGCAUUUGUUUUAAUUUCCCAAAUGAGGAAGCAAUCUUGUAAAUAUUGUGUGGUAAUUAAAAUGGCUAUUUAUUGUGCAGCAUUCUGCCUGCUGCCAGCACAUACUCUGAUUAGCAUUCCCCUUCCACUGAGCCUCUGCUCCCACCCGUCCUCAGCUUUAGGGAGCCCAGCACAUAGAAACCUGCAGGGAAGCACAACUGUGUCCAUCCAUCUGUCCAUCCAUCCG
rnacentral:lncRNA from 1 species